AGAGUUUGAUCAUGGCUCAGGACGAACGCUGGCGGCGGGCUUAACACAUGCAAGUCGCGGGAGAAGCUGCCCUUCGGGCCAAGCGGAGACCGGCGGAUGGGUGAGUAACGCGUAGGUAAUUUGCCGUUAGGCCGGGGACAACCCACCGAAAGGUGAGCUAAUACCGGAUGAUGCAGCGGCCCCGCAUGGGGACAGUUGUUAAAGCCUUCGGGCGCCUAACGAUGAGCCUGCGUGCCAUUAGCUAGUUGGUAGGGUAAAAGCCUACCAAGGCCAUGAUGGCUAGGGGGUCUGAGAGGAUGAUCCCCCACACUGGGACUGAGACACGGCCCAGACUCCUACGGGAGGCAGCAGUGAGGAAUCUUGCGCAAUGGAGGAAACUCUGACGCAGCCAGCGCCC
rnacentral:rRNA from 1 species